AGGGAUGUAGCUCAGUGCUAGAGCAUCUGCUUUGCAUGCAAAAGCUCUCAGGUUCAAUCCCCAUCACUUCUA
rnacentral:tRNA from 1 species